UGAACGCUAGCGGCAGGCUUAACACAUGCAAGUCGAGGGGUAACAGGAAAAGCUUGCUUUUUGCUGACGACCGGCGCACGGGUGCGUAACGCGUAUAGAACCUACCUUUUACAGAGGGAUAGCCUUUAGAAAUGAAGAUUAAUACCUCAUGGUAUUGCAGAUCGGCAUCGAUCAGUAAUUAAAGAUUUAUCGGUAAAAGAUGGCUAUGCGUCCUAUUAGCUAGAUGGUAAGGUAACGGCUUACCAUGGCAACGAUAGGUAGGGGCCCUGAGAGGGGGAUCCCCCACACUGGUACUGAGACACGGACCAGACUCCUACGGGAGGCAGCAGUGAGGAAUAUUGGGCAAUGGAGGCAACUCUGACCCAGCCAUGCCGCGUGCAGGAAGACUGCCCUAUGGGUUGUAAACUGCUUUUAUACAGGAAGAAACACACCUACGUGUAGGUGCUUGACGGUACUGUAAGAAUAAGCACCGGCUAACUCC
rnacentral:rRNA from 1 species